GGAUGUGGAUGAUGAGAGUAAAAAUACAGUUAUCCCUGUCUUACUUCCUCGGAAGGGUGCUGAGAAUACUUUCAAUCUGACACGAUU
rnacentral:snoRNA from 1 species